GAUGAACGCUGGCGGCGUGCCUAAUACAUGCAAGUCGAGCGAACAGACGAGGAGCUUGCUCCUCUGACGUUAGCGGCGGACGGGUGAGUAACACGUGGAUAACCUACCUAUAAGACUGGGAUAACUUCGGGAAACCGGAGCUAAUACCGGAUAAUAUAUUGAACCGCAUGGUUCAAUAGUGAAAGACGGUUUUGCUGUCACUUAUAGAUGGAUCCGCGCCGCAUUAGCUAGUUGGUAAGGUAACGGCUUACCAAGGCAACGAUGCGUAGCCGACCUGAGAGGGUGAUCGGCCACACUGGAACUGAGACACGGUCCAGACUCCUACGGGAGGCAGCAGUAGAGAAUCUUCCGCAAUGGGCGAAAGCCUGACGGAGCAACGCCGCGUGAGUGAUGAAGGUCUUCGGAUCGUAAAACUCUGUUAUUAGGGAAGAACAAAUGUGUAAGUAACUAUGCACGUCUUGACGGUACCUAAUCAGAAAGCCACGGCUAACUACGUG
rnacentral:rRNA from 1 species